rnacentral:rRNA from 1 species
ACGCUCGACACCUACGGGGGGCAGCAGUGGGGAAUAUUGCACAAUGGGGGAAACCCUGAUGCAGCGACGCCGCGUGAGCGAAGAAGUAUCUCGGUAUGUAAAGCUCUAUCAGCAGGGAAGAAGAUGACGGUACCUGACUAAGAAGCACCGGCUAAAUACGUGCCUGCAGCCGCGGUAAUCUGAGCGGGCUGGCAAGGC